rnacentral:lncRNA from 1 species
GCCCCACCGCCAAAUUGUUAGAGUUAAGACAGACAUUUGCUGCAUUCCACCAGGCACAGAGGAAAGAAUCAGGCCACUAGGAAUGUAUGUCCCUAGCAACAGCUUAUUUUAAAAGCCACAGAAUGCUGGAGUUUGGGACUGAGACACUGAAGAAUCCAAUUUGAAAAUAAAUAAGCAUAUUUGAUAGAGUCCCAUUUUAAAAACAAAAAACAACAACAACAACACACACACACACACACACACACACACACACACACACACACACACACAAAAAAAAAACCAGAAGUCUUGAUUGACUCAGUCCUGGCAUGUGACAAAUGAGCUUUAAAGCAUUGUAGAACUGGCAACUCUAGCUGACAUGUUGGGCCACCAUCACUUUGUUCUGUGCAUGUUCUUCUGGUCUCACUUCCUCAUCCCAGCACCAUGUGACGUGAUCCAGUGUUUCCCUCUCCCUGUCUUGCCAAAGUGCCUUGCAUUUAAUGGGCUGACUGUCCCCUAGCUCGUUCACAUUCACUGUUUCUAGCACCUUUUGUGUCCUUUGUCAUCUGUACAUCAGGGACAGUCAGUCAGGAAUGCCACCCAGUGAAGAAGCUAACACAGCUCUGAUGUCUUUGAAUUGGAGUUUGAAAACAGAGUAGAAAACUACUUAUAGGAUAAAGCAACAAAUCUAUACCAUACCUGAACAGAAAGUUCCCCGAAUCUUCAUGAGCGUGAGUUUUCUUACUCUCUCAUGAGUGGCAUGUUGGAUAAAGAUGGUCCAUUGCUUCCAUCCAAACGCCAUCAUCUGAGACCAUCUAACUUUAAGCACUAAGGCUAAGUUAGGUAUCAUCACCUAGCAUUUAGCAUCCUCAAAGCUCCCUGACCCAUAGUCUCAAAGAUUUCAUACUCCCACACUCAUUGUAUGGCUCUGCACCGUGUUCUGUUCUCUCUUGUUUUCUGUUUAUAUAGUCACUUUUAAUGAAAUGCAUGCUGAAUUGUAAGAUGCAUGAGCAUUUAAUGGCUUUAGCAUAUUUGUGAUAAUCUGUCUAAAACAUUCAGAGGGGGGAAAUCUACUCUUUAAAUAACCCUAGAUUAUUUGAUAAGAACUGAGUGCCCUCAAAUAUUAUGAAGACUGUUUAAGUUACUCAGCAUAGGGGAGUUGAAUGUGUCUUCUGGUAUUGAUACAUAUAUCUAUAGGGUUUAGGAUGCCUUCAACUUUAAAUUAGGCAUUUUAACAUGCAUAAGGUGGGAGGUGGUGAACAUCAACUAACAUCUGAAUUAAAUAUGGGGGAUGGAUAAUCUUAUCCUUGAAAGGGGGCCUUGAAAUUUUUUUCCUGAAUUAGAAAGGAACUGCAUGUGCACGGAAUGCAGAGUGAGUUCUCUAAAGCAACAUGUGACAUUUUACUGCCUUCUUGUUGUGUUUUAUAUCUUGUUCUCUCCAGGCAUCGUGGACUCGACCAGAGAAGCAAGAGGUAUAGCUUACCUGACCACUAGCCAGUCUCUAGCUCUGAAAACAUCUCAGUUUUAACUCACCAUCACAGUUAAUAACCAGACUUGCUAACCUAGUGAGCACUUUAGGUGGAUUAAAGAUUAGGUCCAUAGCAGUAGACAUCACCUAGCAAUAGUGUCAUUUCUUAGGAUGAGCAAGCUAGCUGUGUUGGGAGUGGAGGAGCAAAUCUUUAUUAUUUCCUAAAAUGAGACCUUAUUCUCUUGCUGGUGCUGGUAAAAUCAUACCCAAGUAAUUAUAUUGAUAGACAUAAAUUGCCCCAAUUCCCAAGCCAGGCAUUUUG